UCGGAGGUUCGAUCCUUCCGUCCCAG
rnacentral:tRNA from 2 species